GAUGAAGAACGUAGCGAAAUGCGAUAAGUAAUGUGAAUUGCAGAAUUCAGUGAAUCAUCGAACCUUUGAACGCACAUUGCGCCCGCCAGUAUUCUGGCGGGCAUGCCUGUUCGAGCGUCAUUUCAACCCUCAGGCCCCCAGUGCCUGGUGUUGGGGAUCGGCCCAGCCUUCCUGUAAGGCCGCCGGCCCCGAAAUCUAGUGGCGGUCUCGCUGUAGUCCUCCUCUGCGUAGUAGCACAACCUCGCAGUUGGAACGCGGCGGUGGCCAUGCCGUUAAACACCCCACUUCUGAAAGUUGACCUCGGAUCAGGUAGGAAUACCCGCUGAACUUAAGCAUAUCAAUAAGCGGAGGA
rnacentral:misc_RNA from 1 species